UCCACAGGCCUCAUUCCUCCUUCCUUCCACACUUCCUUUGAAAGCUAUGGCUUUCUCUCAUCAGAUUCCAUCAUCUUCAGCCUUUUGUCACUUAUAGCCUCGGUAACUAUCUCCGUUCUCCCCUCCUCCAUGUACCUAUCACCCUUUCUCACCAAUUGUAGGUCCAUGUAUUGCCUACCACCUCUUCCCUUCACCUCUACAUAUCAUCUAUUCUCUCCUCUAUCUCUCAGUCCAGAUGAAGGGUCUCAAUUCAAAUUGACCACUGUCCACUUCCUUGCACAGAUGCUGCCUUACACUCUGAGUUCCUCCAACAUCCUUUUUUUUGCUCCAGAUUUGAGCAUCUGUUUUGCCAGAGCACCUCCCUAUCACACUUUGUUAAAUGCAUCAUUGCUACUAAGGCACACUGGUAGGCUAAUUGGUGACUAUAAAUUACCCUUUACUGUGGAUAAGUGACAACUGAAUCAAAGGAAAGUUGAUUGGUAUGUGUGAGAAUAAUUUUCAGAGAAAACAAGGAUACAACAAAAGCUGGAAUGGGACUGAUGGGAUUGCUCUACUGGGUGACCUAUGUAGAUUGAUGGUCGAAAUUGUCUUUUGCAUUUAAUGUGUAAAGCAGAGGGAAGAUUGUAAUGAAUCCUGGCAGAAUGGGCAGACAGAUGGCAGAUGAAAGUUAAUAAAGGGAAUUACAAGUUAUUCUGUUUUGGCUGAGAAUGCAGAGAGAGAUGCUGAGGAAUCAAGGAAAGUAUUCAGAAUGAGGCAUAGGUUGUUUGGCACUGAGAUGAGGAGAAACACUUUCAUUGUAGGAUGGGGAACCCUUGGAAUAAUCCAUCUCAGGGCUGUGAAAGCUCAGUUGUUGGCAUUGGAUGUUUGUGAGAUUGAUCCUGGGUAUAAGGAGUGUUUGAUAGCUGUAGGCCUCUACUUGAUGCAGUUUAGGGUUUGGGCCUUUGAAACCUACUGAAAGGCCUACAUAGAGUGGACAUGGAGAGAAUAUUUCCUAUAGCAGAGGAUUCUGUGGAGGUCAGGUCAUUGGAUGUACCUAAAGUAGAGAUUGAUAAGCUCUUGAUUAGUACAGGCAUCAAAGUUUAUGGGAAGAAGUCAGAAGAAUGAGGUUGAGAGGGAUAAUAAAUCAGCCAUGAUAGAAUGGCAGAGCAGACUCAAUAAGCUGAAUGGCCUAAUUCUGUUCCCAUGGCCUGUAGUCUUCAUUUAAAACAGAAGCAGAUAGAUUUCUGGAUACUGUGGAACUCAUGGAAUAUGAGAUGAUGCUGGAAUGUGGUCCAGAAUGGAAGAUCAGUCUUGCAGGUUGAAGAAGAAUGAAUCUGAUAGGAGAGAACCAUGGAAGAAAGGAAAGAAGGGUACCAGAGGGAAAUGAUUGGCAGUUGAGAAGAGAUGGGGUGAGAUGGUAACCAGAAUGGGGAAUAGAAGAGGUGGGGGAGUGUUGGAAAGAGAUACAGAAAAUUGGAGAAAUUGAUGUUGAUGCCAUCUGGUUGGAGGCUACCCAGACAGAAUAUGAGGUGUGUUACUCCAGCCUGAGUCUGACCUCAUCAUAGCUGCAGAGGAAGCCAUGGACCAACAUGUUAGAAUGAGAAAAAUGUAGCAAGGACUUGAAGGACAGAGGUUCAGCAGGUUGGGCCUUUUCAUUGGAGUGUAGCAGAAUGGGAGGUGUAGAGGUGACAUAUAAAAUCACAAGGGGCAUUGACAGGGCAAAAGCACAAAUCUUUUCCCCAGGGUUAAGAAAUCAAACAAGAAGAUAGUCAUAGAAAAUUAACUGAGGGGUCCAUGGACUCCAGAUUGGGAACCCCAGACGUAGAAGAUUGUCCUAUAUUGAAUGAGUGACAGAGGAAGUGGUUGAUUAACAACAUUUAAAAGGCACAAGGACAGGUACACAGACAGGAAAGGUUUAGAGUGAUAUGGACCAAAUGCAAACAAAUGGUCUAGCUUAGAUGGGAAUCUUGGUAGGAACGGGCUGAAGGGCCUGUUUCAUUGUUGUGUGACUCAAUGAUGUGAAUUUUUGAACCAAUAAUGUAAGUGGAGGGGAGUAGAAGGAUGUGGGGAAAUAUUCCAUCAAGGAACGUAGUUAUAGUCGGGAAGUCACUGCCUUAAGGGUGGGGCAAACAAUCAUAAAGGAAUUUCAAAGAGAAAACAGAAAGACCAAAUAGAUUGCUCUACAAAGAGUCAGUCUUGAUGGGCUGAAUAGUCACCCGUUUGUUGCAAUAAUUCCAGGAUUGUUUGUUCUAUUAUGUGAUGAGCUGCUAAUUUGAAAUUUGGAAAACUUCAGCCUUUGUAUAGUUUUGCAUUGAUUCUAUUUAUCGUAUUUCUUUGUUCUACUGUGAGUGCCUGCAAGAAAAUGAACCUCGUGGUGACAUAUGUGUACUUUGAUAAUUUACUUUAAGUUUUGAAUUUAACUACGAUACUUUUUGCCCAGUUUUAUUGUGAAUCCAUUUCGCUUUUAAUAUUCCGCCUGGUAACUAAAAGAUUAGGAAGUUGUGUGAAUCCGGUGGCCAGGAACAGGGUCUAAAGUUGCCGCUGAGGAAGUGUGGUUGGUCACUAUAAAUCUUCAUGUGGACUCCAGUGACAGUAGCACUGCUCUGCUGUGCAGUUACAUUAAACGGGCAGAUUUCUGAUUGCUUGCACUGUGAGAAAGAAAUGCUGAGAGCGUAAAUCCUGCGCCGACGAGCGAGCUUCGAACAUAGCACGACAUUCGGGGUUGUUAAGAAGGUGUGUUGACCAUCAUUCAUUGGAGGAUUGAGUUCAAAAGCCGCAAGGCUGCAGAGCGAGUCCACCCCGAUCAAAAUAGCAAUAAGAAAGGAGUAACCAGAAGCACCUAACAUGAUGCAAUUCACAAAAUGCAUCAAUGAAACUUUCCCCAAGACCCAAGAUCCAGAUGCUUCGAGCAAGAGGGAGAAACCAGCCAAAUGCAGAUUCAAGCAUUCAGGCUUGGUUGCCAGAAACAGCUAAGAGUGAAAAUGAAAUUAUUUCACCACUUCAAGUUAGGAACUACAAAGAAUUUGAAAGCAUCUACAGUCAUCUUGAAUGUUGCAAUGAAAAUGAAGAUUUGGAGGAUGCAAUUGUCGAAAAUUGUAUGAAGACAGUCCGUUAGGUACACUAGUUGUCUGCACCGAUUUAAUUCAUUUACAGUUAAUCAAAAGAACACGGUAGAUUAAUUCCUCUACCAAUAACUAUAGGGAAUGAAUACAAUAACUAUAGGGAAUGUACUGUAGCUGUAUUGAUAGUGUUUUCAUUUGUUCUGUAUUUCAUUUAAAUACAUAAUUUGUUACUCAGUUAAAUGGUAGAAUAUAUAUUUUUUAAAUCUCUUUAACUACUUCCACGAAACUUCGGCUAAUUGGAGCAGCGGAUUAAUUGGGCCAAAAUGUAUCGACCUUGAUUGUGUUCUAAUUAACCAGAAUCUACUGUAUAUGUAAAAUACUGAAGUAGUGCAAAAAAAGGACGAAAAUAGUGAGGAAGUGUUCGUGGGUUCAUUGUCCAUUCAGAAAUCUGAUGGCCGAGGGGAAGAAGCUGUUCCUAAAACAUUGAGUGUGUGUCUUCAGGCUCCUGUACCUUCUCUCUGAAGAGGGUGUGUCCUGGGUGGUGAAGGCCCUUAAUGACAGAUACCAUCUUUUUGAGGUAUCACCUUCACAUGAUGUCCUCGACAGUGAGGAGGCUAGUGCCCACGAGGGAGCUGGCUGAGCUUACAACUUCCUGCCACCUUUUCUUAUCCCCACCAUUAUCAUGACAUCAGCAAACUCGACAAUUGAUUGCUUGGGUGAUUGGUUGUGCAGUUAUAUGUGAGCAGGCUGGUGCAGGUGAUUCUUUGGUCAGUUUUAACUACCCAUUGUAGACUCCUGCAGUCACCCAGAAGUGAGAAAUGCCAGCUACAAGUCUCCUUCCCCAGAGUACAUGCAGCAACAACAGACGACUGCAGGCUCUACACUGAAUUAAUUAAUGUUGCACCAAGCACAAGAGAUGGUUGCUCUAUGUAAUGUGAUUGAAUUUCCUUUGCACUGCUUUGUAGCAUAAAUUCACCAAUCUUCUUGGUCAUUGUUCAUCACUUAGUCCCAAGUCCAGGAACAUAUCAGUCAAAGUCUUUAGGCAGCUGGGAUCUUCUCAACGUCGCUACCUUUUCAUGAUUUGAUCCAAACCAGGUAAUUCACCAUAAAUCUGAAACUUCUCUUCAUGGGAGGAGAACAUUUCUUAAUGUGAGCAACAGGCAUUUCUUCCGUACCCUCGUCCCAUUUAAGGGAAACAGAUUCCUGUCUCGGGCGCACAGUAGCGUAGCGGUUAGCAAAAUGCUAUUACAGUAACAGUGACCCGGGUUCAAUUCCUACCACUCUCUGCAAAGAGUUUGUAUGUUCUCCCCAUGACUGUGAGGGUUUCCUCUGGGUGCUCCGGUUUCCUCCCACAUUCCAAAGACAUACUGGAUGGUAGGUUAAUUGGACAAAUGGGUAUAAUUGGGCAGCACAGCUCCACGAGGCAGGAAGGGCUUGUUACCAUACUGUGUUUCAAAAUAAGUACAAUAAAUUAAAACAAAAAUAAAGCUGAUUUGUCCACAUUGCAUCCUACAAAAUAACUUUAUUUUUCUUUUACGGAUAGUGUUCCUGCUUAAUGAGAGGAAAAUCGAUGAAGCCUCUACACAUGAGAGAAGAAAGAGUGAAUUCAGGAAAGAGGUUGUUUUUGCAAAUGAAUCCAAUUAUUUGGAAACUCUGCGGUGUUCAAUUGCAUCUAACGCUUAACUACAGGCUUUAUAGAAUCUGUCAGAUGUUAUAGAACACAACAAGAAAACAAAAUAACUACAGCAAAUCAAGCCCCUUGUCUCCCACCCAUUCACAUACCAAUGCAGACAUACAGACUCGCUUCUGGGCCUCCAGCAGACUGGCAGGCUUUCAGACCAUGAGUCUCUGAAUUACCCUGUGGACUUCAGACUUCAGAACUGAGGGCUUCAGCCACUGGACUUUGACUUCUAAUCGACCUUUGUGCUUUGAUCUUCAGUAUUGAACCCAAGUCUGGUCGAUGACACGACCCUGAACUCCAGACUCGCUGAUGAUGGGACCCUGAAUUCCAAGCCUUAGACUCUGGACUCACUGCCUUAUGGUACCUAGAGGGCUUGAGUGUCUCCUGCACGCACAGUCAUCUGAUUGUGGGACCCAGUGACCUGGAGUGCCACAAAACCCUCAUCCUCGGUCCUUGUUCACCAGCCCGAUUCUAUGGAUGUGCUUCUUCAGAAGUCUGCACCGAGAGCUCCCCCAAACCUUCAUUAUUUCAAGGCAAACAAGCGCAGCUCCAGUCUAGCCAAGCAGCUUGAAUCAUUCAUCCCUGGAACCGUCUUAGUAUAUCUCUGCCCUAUCCCCAGCCCUCACAACUGCAGAAAUCAGAAUUGGCCUCGACCUCCAGUUGUGGGCCCACUGUUGUUUUGAUCCAACAGCCUUGCAAUCAUAAAUGGCUUUUGUCCUCCAGACUCCUGGUUAAGAAUCCCAGGAUCCCAUAUAAUUUAAGAAGCCAUGCUCUCAAUAUGUCCUUGUUGUGUUCAAGAAGUGCAUGUCUGAAUGGUUGCCAUCAAAAUCUUCUGGAACAAGUAACAGAGACUUUAUCCAAAGUUUCUGAUAAGUAGGAUGUGUUUCUGAUUAAAUAAAUAUUUAUUUAA